rnacentral:tRNA from 1 species
GCCAGUGUGGCAUAGCGGUUUGAAUGUUGGACUACAACUCAGGAGACUAGGGUUCGAAUCUCUGCUGUGCA